CUCAAAGAAGAAUUAAAGAAGAGGGGUGCUUCCUGUAGUGGAAGAAAGGCAGACCUUGUAGAGAGGUUUAAGAAGCGUAUGAUAGAAAUUUUAACUUCACUGAUAAAUCAUGUCCCUCAGAACCAGUACAAACCGAAGUUAUGGUCAUACCAAAAGACGAUUAUUAUAAAGAUAUAAACAGCAAUACCCCAUUGCCACCAUUAAAUAAACAUCAAAUACAAGAGUAUUUUGGAGAAUGCAGUCAAUCAUUAAUAAAGGGGAAAAG